GAUGAACGCUGGCGGCGUGCCUAAUACAUGCAAGUCGAGCGAACGGACGAGAAGCUUGCUUCUCUGAUGUUAGCGGCGGACGGGUGAGUAACACGUGGAUAACCUACCUAUAAGACUGGGAUAACUUCGGGAAACCGGAGCUAAUACCGGAUAAUAUUUUGAACCGCAUGGUUCAAAAGUGAAAGACGGUCUUGCUGUCACUUAUAGAUGGAUCCGCGCUGCAUUAGCUAUUUGGUAAGGUAACGGCUUACCAAGGCAACGAUGCAUAGCCGACCUGAGAGGGUGAUCGGCCACACUGGAACUGAGACACGGUACAGACUCCUACGGGAGGCAGCAGUAGGGAAUCUUCCGCAAUGGGCGAAAGCAUGACGGAGCAACGCCGCGUGAGUGAUGAAGGUCUUCGGAUCGUAAAACUCUGUUAUUAGGGAAGAACAUAUGUGUAAGUAACUGUGCACAUCUUGACGGUACCUAAUCAGAAAGCCACGGCUAACUACGUG
rnacentral:rRNA from 1 species